rnacentral:tRNA from 7 species
UGCGGGAUCGUCUAAUGGUAGGACGCAUGCCUCUGGAGCAUGCUAUCUAGGUUCAAAUCCUAGUCCCGCAGCCA